AUCAGAUCCCAGUACUUUGAGGAACAUUGCAUGCUGAAAGGAGUUCACGAAAAUUUUGUUGGUAUUGAUUAUGUGAUUUUCGGCUUGUGUGUCUUUUCAUUCUUGGGUACUUGGUGCGACUUCAUAACAUUCAAGUAAUAUCUAAUUCAUCACUGAAUGAUAUUAUCUACUAUGAAUUUCCUAUUAUAUAUUGAUUAUAAUGCUAUUUUAAUCAGGGUAUAACGUGGAAGAGGCAGUCUUUUAAGGAUGAAAUUUACCAUGGUGAGGAAAUUGAGGAAAUAAGAGCUCUAGGAUUUGGGAUCAGCUCAACGAGAGAUGAGUGUUGCAAGUACUCUCGGAAAGAUGGCUUUCCAACCGACUUAAGAGUUUCUGGAAGAAUAAUGCAGAAGGGAUACUUGAAAUUAAUUUUCAUGAAGUCGGUUAUUGUAUUCGUGUUUUUGUUUUUGGUGUUUGGGGAAUACAUUUAAUGUAUUUUACCACUAGAUGUUAUGUAUGAAAUACGUAAGAUUUCAAUAACAUUUGUUAAAUUUAGUUAUUUAUAAUAUUAAUAAUAUUACCAUUUUCUUGAAAAUGGUAAUAUUUUUUUUUUAAUAAUUUGCCAAAAGAAUACUAACAGUUAUAUCCGUUAGGAAUUUUGCUAGGACGUUACAAUUAACAACCGUUACAGUCACGUUUCUAACGGAUACAACUGUUAGAACUAUUUAUUUUUCUAACGGAUUUGGAUAAUUUUGCCAACGGUUUAUGUCCGUUAGAAAUUUUAGACCUUAAAUUUCUAACGCCAU